rnacentral:tRNA from 1 species
UUAAGUAGAGAGUUUAAUAUUGAAGAUAUUAAGGUAACAUAUUUGUUUUUAAAUA